CGAACGCUGGCGGCGUGCUUAACACAUGCAAGUCGAACGCGAAAGGGACUUCGGUCCUGAGUAAAGUGGCGCACGGGUGAGUAACGCGUAGAUAACCUGUCUUCAUGUCUGGAAUAAUACGCCGAAAGGGGUACUAAUACCGGAUAUUCUUGCUUUUCAUAAGUUAUGCAAGCAAAGGUGGCCUCUGCAUAUGCUACUGCAUGAAGAGGGGUCUGCGUACCAUUAGCUAGUAGGUGGGGUAAUGGCCUACCUAGGCGACGAUGGUUAGCGGGUCUGAGAGGAUGAUCCGCCACACUGGCACUGGAACACGGGCCAGACUCCUACGGGAGGCAGCAGUGAGGAAUAUUGCGCAAUGGGGGAAACCCUGACGCAGCGACGCCGCGUGAAGUGAGGAAGGCCUUCGGGUCGUAAAGCCCUGUCAAGAGGAAAGAAGUGUACAAUGGCUAAUACCUGUUGUAUUUGACGGUACCUCUAAAGGAAGCACCGGCUAACUCCGUGCCAGCCGCCGC
rnacentral:rRNA from 1 species